rnacentral:lncRNA from 1 species
UCACACCACUGCACUCCAGCCUGGGCGACAGAGUGAGACUCCAUCUCAAAAAUAAUAAUAAUAAUGGCUGUAAGGAGCGUGCGUUUCUGAGCCAGUGCUCGCAGGCGUGCAUACGGGGCCUUCUCCUAGCUGCCAUCUGUUACACGGGUCUGUCAUCUCCCCACUUGGAUUUGAGGACUCUUGUCUUUCCUGGGGACACAUGAUUGGAUUACUUCAUCCAGCUUGCUCAGCCUCUGCUCUUCUGAGGAAAGAAGGUCGAGGGAGGGAGACCGUUGGACCAUGGGGGCGGUUUCUCCCAUGCUGUGGUCAUUGAGUUCUCAGGAAAUCUGAUGGUUUUGUAAGUGUUUGGAAGUUCCUCCUUGCUCCACUCUCCUGCUGACUUGUGAAAAAUGUGCCUGCUUCCCCUUCCACCAUGACUGUAAGUUUCCUGAGGCCUCACCAGCCAUGCAGAACUGUUAGGAAAGGCAAAAACUGAUGGAGGAACUGUUCCAGAUGAAAGGAGGCGUAACUAAAUGCAACGUGCAAUCCUGGCAUGGAUCCUGGGCCAAGAAAAAGAAAUAGCCCUAAAGGACAUUACUGAGACAAUGACAAAUUUUGACUAUGGACUGUAGAUUAUGUAAUAGGUUUGUAUUAAUGUUAAAUUUUCUGAUUUUGAUAUUAAAAAUGUUCUUAUGGAGGGGAAUGUUCAUCUUAGAAAAAGACACUUACAUUUAGUGGCAAA